rnacentral:misc_RNA from 1 species
CAAAUUUGUUCUUCAUGGAAACAUGUUACGGAGAAUAGCAGUAACCGAUGCAACGUUCAUGAAUCAAUCUGAAAAAGUCAUUAAGUGGUGCAUGAAUUGGUUCUGUUUGUCUCAUGUUAUACCUGUAUAUUUGUACCUGAAAGUGUAACUGUAAGCAAAGCUAUACUUAAUUGUUGACUAAGUUUGUAUAAGGUGUUAUAUUCAAUCUAGAUAAACUUGGGCACUUGGAAUGUAAAUAUACAGAUUGCAGUUAGGUACUAAAAUUUUCACAUUAGUCAUUUUUAUUUUCUAUUGGCAAUAAUUUAG